AUUGAACGCUGGCGGCAUGCCUUACACAUGCAAGUCGAACGGCAGCACGGACUUCGGUCUGGUGGCGAGUGGCGAACGGGUGAGUAAUGUAUCGGAACGUACCUUUCAGUGGGGGAUAACGUAGCGAAAGUUACGCUAAUACCGCAUAUUCUGUGAGCAGGAAAGCAGGGGAUCGCAAGACCUUGCGCUGAUUGAGCGGCCGAUAUCAGAUUAGCUAGUUGGUGGGGUAAAGGCCUACCAAGGCUACGAUCUGUAGCGGGUCUGAGAGGAUGAUCCGCCACACUGGAACUGAGACACGGUCCAGACUCCUACGGGAGGCAGCAGUGGGGAAUUUUGGACAAUGGGGGCAACCCUGAUCCAGCCAUGCCGCGUGAGUGAAGAAGGCCUUCGGGUUGUAAAGCUCUUUCAGCCGGGAAGAAAUCGCAUCAGCUAAUACCUGGUGUGGAUGACGGUACCGGAAUAAGAAGCACCGGCUAACUACGUG
rnacentral:rRNA from 1 species